rnacentral:rRNA from 1 species
UGGCGAACGGGUGAGUAACGCGUAGGUAAUCUACCUUCAAGUGGGGGACAACCCAGGGAAACUUGGGCUAAUACCGCAUGUGGCAGCAAUGCUAAAGCCGGCCUCUGAAUAUGCUGGUGCUUGGAGAUGAGCCUGCGUCUGAUUAGCUAGACGGUGGGGUAAUGGCCUACCGUGGCGAUGAUAAGUAGGCGGCUUUAACGAGUGGUCGCCCACACUGGGAUUGAGAUACGGCCCAGACUCCUACGGGAGGCAGCAGUCGAGGAUAGUCUACAAUGGUCGAAAGAUUGAUAGUGCGACGCCGCGUGAACGAUGAAGCAUUUCGGUGUGUAAAGUUCUUUUCUAUGCGAGCAGGAUAUUGGUGGUUAAUAGCGACCGGUAUUUGAUAUUAGUAUAGGAAUAAGCCACGGCUAACUCCGUGCCAGCAGCCGCGGUAAUACGGGGGUGGCGAGCGUUGUCCGGAAUUACUAGGCGUAAAGGGCAGGUAGGCGGUAAUAUAAGUUAAUUGUUAAAGGCCCAUGCUCACCAUGGGUAAGGCAGUUGAUACUGUAUAACUGGAAGACGGUGGAGGAAGACGGAAUUCCUGGUGUAGCGGUGGAAUGCGCAGAUAUCAGGAGGAACACCGAAGGCGAAGGCAGUCUUCUACGCCGGUUUUGACGCUAAACUGCGAAGGUGCGGGGUAUCAAACAGGAUUAGAUACCCUGGUAGUCCGCACAGUAAACGAUAAUCACUAGGUGUCGGUGGGAUAGACCUGUCGGUGCCGUAGCUAACGCGAUAAGUGAUUCGCCUGGGGAGUACGAUCGCAAGGUUGAAACUCAAAGGAAUUGACGGGGGCCCGCACAAGCGGUGGAGCAUGUGGUUUAAUUCG